UGGGGAAUUUUGGACAAUGGGCGAAAGCCUGAUCCAGCAAUGCCGCGUGAGUGAAGAAGGCCUUCGGGUUGUAAAGCUCUUUUGUCAGGGAAGAAACGGUGAGAGCUAAUAUCUUUUGCUAAUGACGGUACCUGAAGAAUAAGCACCGGCUAACUACGUGCCAGCAGCCGCGGUAAUACGUAGGGUGCAAGCGUUAAUCGGAAUUACUGGGCGUAAAGCGUGCGCAGGCGGUUUUGUAAGUCUGAUGUGAAAUCCCCGGGCUCAACCUGGGAAUUGCAUUGGAGACUGCAAGGCUAGAAUCUGGCAGAGGGGGGUAGAAUUCCACGUGUAGCAGUGAAAUGCGUAGAUAUGUGGAGGAACACCGAUGGCGAAGGCAGCCCCCUGGGUCAAGAUUGACGCUCAUGCACGAAAGCGUGGGGAGCAAACAGGAUUAGAUACCCUGGUAGUCCACGCCCUAAACGAUGUCUACUAGUUGUCGGGUCUUAAUUGACUUGGUAACGCAGCUAACGCGUGAAGUAGACCGCCUGGGGAGUACGGUCGCAAGAUUAAAACUCAAAUGAUUGNCGGGGGUAUAGCUGUUUCCUG
rnacentral:rRNA from 1 species